CAUGCAAGUCGAACGAUGAACCCCGCUUGCGGGGGGAUUAGUGGCGAACGGAUGAGUAACACGUGACUAACUUGCCCUUAACUCUGGGAUAAACCUUGGAAACGGGGUCUAAUACUCGAUAUUGACUUUACCUCGCAUGGGGUUUGGUUGAAAGAUUUAUUGGUUUUGGAUUGACUUGCGGCCUAUCAGCAGGUUGGUGAGGUAAAGGCUCACCAAGGCGACGACGUGUANCCGGCCUGAGAGGGUGACCGGCCACACUGGGACUUAGACACUGCCCAGACUCCUACGGGAGGCAGCAGUGGGGAAUAUUGCACAAUGGGCGAAAGCCUGAUGCAGCGACGCCGCGUGAGGGAUGACGGCCUUCGGGUUGUAAACCUCUUUCAGUAGGGAACAAGG
rnacentral:rRNA from 1 species